rnacentral:snoRNA from 1 species
CGUGCCACUUGAGGCGUUGCAGUCCGACGUUGCGUUGAGGCUGUGUCACAAGGUGGCAGAGCAUAAAAGGUCUACAUCAUCAUCAUCUGCGGUCUAUACCUACAAC